CAAUCUACGUCGGGCGACCGGCGCACGGGUGCGUAACGCGUAUGCAACCUACCCAUUACAGGGGGAUAACACUGAGAAAUCGGUACUAAUACCCCAUAACAUCCAGGGAGGCAUCUUCUUGGGUUGAAAACUCCGGUGGUAAUGGAUGGGCAUGCGUUGUAUUAGUUAGUUGGUGGGGUAACGGCUCACCAAGACAACGAUACAUAGGGGGACUGAGAGGUUAACCCCCACAUUGGUACUGAGACACGGACCAGACUCCUACGGAAGGCAGCAG
rnacentral:rRNA from 1 species